rnacentral:miRNA from 1 species
UAUCCUGGCCUGCAAGUGCACUC